CCUACGGGUGGCAGCAGUGGGGAAUAUUGCACAAUGGGCGCAAGCCUGAUGCAGCCAUGCCGCGUGUAUGAAGAAGGCCUUCGGGUUGUAAGGUACUUUCAGCGAGGAGGAAGGCGUUAAGGUUAAUAACCUUGGCGAUUGACGUUACUCGCAGAAGAAGCACCGGCUAACUCCGUGCCAGCAGCCGCGGUAAUACGGAGGGUGCAAGCGUUAAUCGGAAUUACUGGGCGUAAAGCGCACGCAGGCGGUCUGUCAAGUCGGAUGUGAAAUCCCCGGGCUCAACCUGGGAACCGCAUUCGAAACUGGCAGGCUAGAGUCUUGUAGAGGGGGGUAGAAUUCCAGGUGUAGCGGUGGAAUGCGUAGAGAUCUGGAGGAAUACCGGUGGCGAAGGCGGCCCCCUGGACAAAGACUGACGCUCAGGUGCGAAAGCGUGGGGAGCAAACAGGAUUAGAUACCCGGGUAGUC
rnacentral:rRNA from 1 species